AGGAGGCAGGUAGCCUAGUGGUUAGAGUGUAGAGGAGGCAGGUAGUCUAGUGGUUAGAGUGUAGAGGAGGCAGGUAGUCUAGUGGUUAGAGUGUAGAGGAGGCAGGUAGCCUAGUGGUUAGAGUGUAGAGGAGGCAGGUAGCCUAGUGGUUAGAGUGUAGAGGAGGCAGGUAGCCUAGUGGUUAGAGUGUAGAGGCGGCAGGUAGCCUAGUGGUUAGAGUGUAGAGGAGGCAGGUAGCCUAGUGGUUAGAGUGUAGAGGAGGCAGGUAGCCUAGUGGUUAGAGUGUAGAGGAGGCAGGUAGCCUAGUGGUUAGAGUGUAGAGGAGGCAGGUAGCCUUGUGGUUAGAGUGUAGAGGAGGCAGGUAGCCUAGUGGUUAGAGUGUAGAGGAGGCAGGUAGCCUAGUGGUUAGAGUGUAGAGGAGGCAGGUAGCCUAGUGGUUAGAGUGUAGAGGAGGCAGGUAGCCUAGUGGUUAGAGUGUAGAGGAGGCAGGUAGCCUUGUGGUUAGAGUGUAGAGGAGGCAGGUAGCCUAGUGGUUAGAGUGUAGAGGAGGCAGGUAGCCUAGUGGUUAGAGUGUAGAGGAGGCAGGUAGUCUAGUGGUUAGAGUGUAGAGGAGGCAGGUAGUCUAGUGGUUAGAGUGUAGAGGAGGCAGGUAGUCUAGUGGUUAGAGUGUAGAGGAGGCAGGUAGCCUAGUGGUUAGAGGAGGCAGGUAGUCUAGUGGUUAGAGUGUAGAGGAGGCAGGUAGUCUAGUGGUUAGAGUGUAGAGGAGGCAGGUAGCCUAGUGGUUAGAGUGUAGAGGAGGCAGGUAGCCUUGUGGUUAGAGUGUAGAGGAGGCAGGUAGCCUAGUGGUUAGAGUGUAGAGGAGGCAGGUAGCCUAGUGGUUAGAGUGUAGAGGAGGCAGGUAGCCUAGUGGUUAGAGUGUAGAGGAGGCAGGUAGCCUAGUGGUUAGAGUGUAGAGGAGGCAGGUAGCCUAGUGGUUAGAGUGUAGAGGAGGCAGGUAGCCUAGUGGUUAGAGUGUAGAGGAGGCAGGUAGCCUAGUGGUUAGAGUGUAGAGGAGGCAGAUAGUCUAGUGGUUAGAGUGUAGAGGAGGCAGGUAGUCUAGUGGUUAGAGUGUAGAGGAGGUAGGGUAGCCUAG